UCUGUCGCAACACUCUAUCUUUCUCUAAUCUCAGAUUUCCUCAUCUCUUUUCUACCCUCCCGUUUUUUGAAUGCUAACCAAUCAUCGGAUCUCUUCUCCCCGCGUGCCUGUGCUUCCAUUCUUUCCUCAUCACUGAUCUAUUUUGCUCGCGCAAAUUCCUGCCCGCUAGGGGCCGUUAGCUUCUGGCGGUAGGGAUGAAGGUAUACCACGGCUGUGGCAGCCGGUUUCUCGGGCUGUGUCUGUGGACAGCGGUUGCACUGACGGUGGGGUGCCUACACUGUGAUGAAGACUUUUCGACGAAAUUCGCUUUUUACCGUCACCAUUUGAGUCUCAAAUCCUGGUGGGUUGGAGAUAUCCCCGUCUCGAGGAGCCUCCUAAACGACUGGCCCAAGGACACGAUGGAGAAACUCCGAUUCACCUUUCCACCCGAAAUCACUUUGAGUAAAUUGCACCAUAUUGCAGCGGAUGUAUACAAGAAACUAGACAAACUGUAUGAAAGGAAGAUGUAUCACCCUGGUUUCUUCCCCAAAGUUUUGCGUUCUAUUUUCCAAGAGCAGAUAAAGAUGCUACGGGUUGCCAUUAUUGAAAGCAAAUUAGCAUGUGAGCACCACUGUGGAAUCUAUACAUAUGACACAAUAGCUUGCCAGACUUGCAACUCCUCUCAAUCAGCCUGCUUUGGAUAUAACUGCGAUUUCUUGAACAGAUCAUCAGAUGAGUGGGAAAAAGCUGUCAAAGGCCUUUUCAAUGAAAUCAACAAAUUUCCAGUUCCAUUUUCAUUGAACAUCACACGUAAGAAUGACAGGACACAAGAUCAUUCUCAUCUGCAUCUUGUAGAACUGGAGAAAUUGAGGCUAAAACACCUGUUCCCCAAAAGAAAUAUAUGGUGAAGUUGUGAUUGUGACCACUGAUAUUCCUUCCUCAUUUCACCCUCUUCUGAAUUUCUUACAAAAUCCAUACACAUCUUUGGAAGGAAAAAAUAUUAUCAUCUGGAUUUUGAAUUAAGGAAAGAAAAACUGGAUGGACCAUAUCAUCUCUUACAUAGAAAUAAAGAUUACUUUUUCUCUGGA